rnacentral:rRNA from 1 species
CAGUAGCCGCGGUAAUACGAAGGGGGCUAGCGUUGCUCGGAAUGACUGGGCGUAAAGGGCGCGUAGGCGGCAUACACAGUCAGACAUGAAAUUCCUGGGCUUAACCUGGGGGCUGCGUUUGAUACGUGUAGGCUAGAGUGGGGAAGAGGGUUGUGGAAUUCCCAGUGUAGAGGUGAAAUUCGUAGAUAUUGGGAAGAACACCGGUGGCGAAGGCGGCAACCUGGUCCUUGACUGACGCUGAGGCGCGAAAGCGUGGGGAGCAAACAGGAUUAGAUACCCGCGUAGUCCCUGUCUCUUAUAA